rnacentral:rRNA from 1 species
UACGUAGGGUGCGAGCGUUGUCCGGAAUUAUUGGGCGUAAAGGGCUCGUAGGCGGUUUGUUGCGUCAGGAGUGAAAACUCGGGGCUUAACCCCGAGCCUGCUUCUGAUACGGGCAGACUAGAGGUAUGCAGGGGAGAACGGAAUUCCUGGUGUAGCGGUGAAAUGCGCAGAUAUCAAGAGGAACACCUGAGGUGAAGACGGGUUGCUGGGCCGACACUGACGCUGAGUGCGCGAAAGCCAGGGGAGCAAACGGG